AAUAACACACUUCAGUGCCAGGACCAAGCCCUGAAUGCAGCCCAGCUCUGCCAAGUGCCCUGGGCUGUGAGCAGCCCAAGGCAAGAGGCUGCAGCCCCGCCGGCCGGCGCUGGGGGCUCCUGGUGCUGCCCGUGGGCUGGGAUGCUGGAAUUGCCUCUCUGGGUGUGUGCUGAGCUCUGGCUGCAGGGGACUGUCAGGCCUUGGUGGCUGUGAGUUCCUGUUCUUCUCCCUGGGAAACUGGAAAGAGUUAUUCAUUGGAUUGCAGAAACGUUUUCUGAAACCUGUCCCCUUCUUUGUGCCUUUUGCUGACACAUCUUCUCUUUCUA